UCAAAGGUAAUUUUGACGUCUGCGAGUGGUGGUUUGGCGCCAGCUAUUUCGCGGGUGGACAACACAAGGCGCAGUGUAAUUAAACGCGGCCGAAAGGGCCGAGCGCAAAUGAGACAGCAAGCUGAGGUGCUGUGCUCAUUAGGCGGACACUUUGAAGCGGUCGUCGUCUUCUCGCUUUUCUGCUUUCCACCGUACGUCAUCUCUGCGACCAACGUCGCCUACGAACCCCGAGGCCGUGCGGCGUUGAGUAACGAUGAUGGCGUCGGCGGAGCCUCCGAGCAGCUUCAGCGUGGUCUCCCUGCUGGAGUGUCUGGAGGACGGUGCCGCUGGAUGCCCCGAGCAGACGGAUGCCUACCUCACCAUCGCCAAUCGACUGAGUGGAGAGGAAGGUCGGCAGUUUCUUCCGGCAGUCGAGAAGCACUUUACGCGUCUGGGCACCGCCAUCUUGGCUCACAUCAGCAGUCCACAUGCCGAGCUGAGCCAAGCCGCCCUGCAAGCAUUGGGUUUUUGUCUUUACCAUUCGCACGUUGUCUCGCGAGUGUCUGAAACCUUUGCCGCUGAUAUCCUGUCCGCUCUUUGCUCUGUGGCGUCCAAGUCCACGGAGAAGAACACUUGCACCAGAGCGUUAUGGGUCAUCUCCAAACAGAGCUUUUCCGCCGACGUGGUGGGCAAGAAAGUUUCGUCCAUACUGGGGACCCUGGAGAGCAUUUGGAGCAAAGACGACGUCCUGUCGGUCGUCAUGGAGCAUGAGGCUUUGAAUGUGAUCAUCAAGCUGCUGGAUCAGGUUCCGGCUCAGAUGUCUGAAGACACUGUGCGCUGGGCCAAGCUCAUCAUCCCCCUGGUGGUGCACUCGGCCUCCAAAGUGCGUCUGCGGGCGGCAGCCGCUAUGGAGAUGGGCCUGCCUCUGCUCCUCCAAAAGCAGACGGACGUGGCCGCUGUCAUCGAGCCCCUCAUGUCCACGAAACUGAUCCCAGAGCUGCAGAAGCUUUUCAUGGCCAAGAACGAAACAAACGUCCUGAAGCUCUGGCCCCUAUUUGUCAAACUUCUAGGCAAGAUGCUGCAUCGCGGUGGUCCGUUCAUCAACUCUCUGCUCCACCUGGAGGAGCUGGGCUUUCGCAGCUCAUCUCCCACCGUGAAGAAGAUCGCCUUCAUCGCCUGGAAGAGCCUAAUCGACAACUUUGCUCUCAAUCCGGACAUCCUGUGCAGCGCCAAGCGAAUGAAGCUCCUCAUGCAGCCCCUCAUGUCCAUCAACAUCAGGACGGAGGCGCUGAUGCUCACUAAGGUGGAGGUGUGGUGGUACCUGGUGGUCCAGCUGGGCCCUCACCUGUCACCUCACUUUGAUCAGGUGUCAGUUCCUUUGCUGCAAUGCACUUUUGGAUCGGAUUCCUCCUCGGCGCAGGGCACCCCCGCCAGGGGGGCCGUUCAGAAUGGAGCUGCAGUAGCUAAAGCUGCGGGCCUGCCGAGCUUCAACAGCACGGCCCCUACCACUCGACUCAGCCUGAACUCCAGCAUCCAGCUGCCCUCCACCUUCCCCUCCAUCCAGCAGCUGGGCCUGGAGAUGCUGCUGCACUACUUCCUGGGACCCGAGGUUGUCGCCGCGGCAGCCAAGAGCAAGCUUGUGCUUACUCUGGAACCUUUAAGGUAUCCCCUCUUGAGUGCUACCUCCUCCUUCGGCAAACAUGCAGCUGUGCUCAUCUCCAGCAUCAAAGAUGGCUUCAGCAGCGCUGGCAAAGAAGCUCCAGGGGCACUUUUGGGACUUCUGUGGAAUCACCUUGUUCAUUUUGUCAGCUCAACCAUCGAGUCUGGCAGUAAGAAGGACAGACAGGGCAGUGAAGUCCUGACGCUGAUGCUGCAAGCCCUGCAGAGCAUCAUUCACUCAGGAGCUCUCCCUGCAGAUAAAGUCCUGGUUCUCUUUGAGGGCACCGUCAAAGGCAUCUCCCCUCGUGUCCUAGGCUCCGCCUCCUACCAAGUGGGCAAGAUGGACGUGCUGAACGGAACGCCCGCGCUCUUCCUGAUUCUUCUCCUCUUGGACAGCAGCAGGCUCGCCACCUACAUCGAGGACGCCAGGUUUUAUCAGUGCCUCAAGACGCUGGUGGGCUGCGGCUUGUCAGGCCCAACCUCCCCGCUGGCGUUUGGCGAGGCCGUGCUGGGUGCUGUCAGCCGCGGCGCCGCCUCUGUGCCAAGCAAGGAGCACCUGCUGAGAAUGUGGAGUGUGAUGGUGGGCCCGCUCACGGACACCAUAACUCAGUCUAAUGAAGUCAACCAAGGAGAUGCUUUGGAGCACAACUUCAGCGCCAUGCACUCAGCCUUGUUGUUCCCCGUCACGCACCUGCUGAGUGGACCGCCUCUGCAGCAGGCAGCCCACAAGUCCAUGCUGGCCACAUGGUCCAAACUCUACAAGGUGUUUGCACGCUGCUCCUCUUUGGUGGUCACGGCCGAGGAGAACGUCUGCUGUGAGGAGCUGUGUGCCAAGAUGGCCGCCACGGUGGACCGGGAGGCCUUGACGCUUCCGUCCACGUUGAUGGCGGUCUCCUGCAUCCUGCAAGUCAUGGUGGAAUGUGUGGACUUCUCCCCGUACACGCCGCACUUCCAGCAAAAGUUAAAGUCUCCUCACACUCCAGGAAACUGGACCAAGAAGAGAAGCAAGGCCCUCGGGAACUUGUCCACUUUUGAGUCCCUGCUGGUUCGGUGUCUAGAUGUUUACCUGGCCGGAGAGGAUGAGCUUUCGUCUGAGGGCACUUGCACGGGCAUGGCACUGCUCUCGGUCUUGUCAGCCCUUUUCACCAACUUGGUUCUUGCUCACGCUGUCAAGGAGGUGCUCACUUCCCUCAUUCCGCCUCUCGCCGUGCUCUAUCAGAAGCCACCUAAAUUUACAUCGCAGAUUCUUGCCAAGAUGGAGAAGCUCGUGGGCGAGUUUCUUGGCUGCAUCCAGAGCCGCUGCACGCUGGCGUAUGACGACGACCUCCUGGCUCUGCUUUCUCCGCUGCUUUGUGUCCUCUUCACACACAAGAACAAGCAGCACCGCACGGCUGUCGCACACUUUUGGAAUUCCACAUUUGCCAAUGCCGUCAGCUUGACGUAUCCCGAGAAUCUCAGACCUGUUCUGAACCAUGUGAAGCAAAAGACUCCCAUCAUUCUUCCUGGCUUCGAAGCCGUCUGUGUUCCCGAUGAGCUCAGUGGACAAUAUUCUAGCGAAAGUUCCCAGUUAGAAACCAAACUCAGUGGCGUGCCAGUCGCCUCUGCGGGAAAGAGGGACUCUCAAUCGGGAAAGACUGCUGAGGCGAACGACCGAAGCUCCGCUAGGACCACUAAACCGGUUUCCAUGAAGCUGGACUUUGGCUCCCCUAAAGUUCCCCGCAGGGAGGUCCUGGAGGAGGAAGCCUCUGUUGACUUUGUUUUCAUUCCACCUGAGACCAAGGAGAGAGUUUUAACAGAGCACCAAAAGGAGGUCAAAAGGACUAAAAGGGUGGACAUACCUGCCAUGUACAACAACCUUGAUGCCUCCUUGGAUACCACCGUUUUCACUCAGUACACACAAAGCCAGGAAGACUCCAUGGGCAAACCACCAACGGACCAAGCUGAUGCUGUUGCCCAGGAUGCUCCAGAAAUGGGUACUGACUCAAGCGAGGUUGCUGACAUUCAAACAGAGGAGACUCAAGACGUUGCGUGCCCCAAGGCUUUAGAAAAACAGGCAGAAACGGAGGAGCCAGAGAUGAUACCAGAGUCGUCCGAUGUUUCCAUGGAGGAAGAUGCCAAGAGUGACGCCAGAGCUGAAGAUGGGAGCGCUCAACCUGAAAAGACCACCAGUCCCAACACGUCAGUCUCUGGAACUCCUCAAAAGUCCAGCAGUGGUAGUAGGCGUCAGACCUUCAUUACUUUGGAGAAAUAUGCAGAGGGAAAGCCUGUAGGGACUGCCAGCACUGUGUCCACCUUCAUAGGUCCCCUAGUUCAGACCUCCAGUAGCCAGGAACCCUCUAAGGACUCUUACACUCCCUCCCCUGAGGACUCCCAGAAAGAGAGUCCUCAAAACUCUGAGAGUGUCUGUGAGGAGACCUCAGCGUGUCCUGUGAGUCACAUCCAAGCCUCCCCUCAAAGGCCCAAAGUGGAUGGUGAAAGGACAGUUGAGCCUUUCAGGCUGAUUGAGGGGCCAACAUGUGAUGAACCUGAAGAUGAUGUCAUUCCAGACACUCAGACUGAGGACGUAGGAAUGGAGAAUCCUGCAGAGACCUUCACCUCAGUAGAUGUGACGCCUUCAGAUCCAAACACGGAUUCUCAAGUUGCUCUUGGUGAUUUGCAGUCCUCAGAGGUUCUGACUUCUCCAGGUGAUCCAAACAUGGUUUCUCGAGAGAGUCUUAGUGAUUCGCAGUCACAGAGUGAGCGGACACGAGCGGGCCGCAAAAGAAGUAAGCAUCUGCUUCCGGAAGACGUUCUGACACAGACGCUCGCGUCAUCAAACAGACCAAAUACUAGAAACAGGAAGGCCAGUGAGGAGGACACUGGUAGACUACGGAGGAGGUCUCUGAGGGAAAGUAGCGAGUCAAGCCAAAAGAACUCUCAAGGCCGAUUGCACAGGAAGGUCAAGCUGUACAGCAAUUCAGGCGAGUUCCUCACUGAAUGCGAAAACAAGAGGAAAAGCGGCAGGUUCCGAGAGUCGAGUCAAACGUACUGCCUGUCGGACUCUCUGUCUGAAUCGAGCCAGUCUCGGCGAAAGCGAGGCUGGCAUCGUAAGUCCAUAACGGAGCCCAAGGAGGAGGAUGGAAUGAAGGCGGAGUCUGUGAAAAUAUCCAGUCAAACUGACUUCCUGUCGGAUACCCAGUCUGAUUCUGAAAGCCAGUCGCAGCAAAGGAGCCGCCGGUAUUCUAAGUUCCUUUUGGGGUCUAACGAGGCCAAGCCAGAGGAAGCGUCCAGUCAAAGUGACUUACAGUCAGACAGCCAGUCUGUUUCUGAAUCCCAAGAAGAACGUGGUCCGCCUGCCAAGGACAGUCUUAAUCGUCCCGAGACCACAUCUGAGAAAACGUCCAGGGAGACGGACUUGCAAUCAGACACCCAGUCAGACUCAGAAAUUCUGUCACAGCAAAGGCUAGACAAAGCUUCUGAAAUACUGCAGCAGAUGGAGAAAGGACAUUCAGAUACUAAGUCUCAAUCAGAAGAUUCUCAGAAAGACUUAAAAAUCGGCUCACUUCAAACGGUCGGCCAAACCCAAAAAUGCGAUCUUGUCGUGCAGGAGACAAACGGAGAAAGGCCCUCUCAGAUUGCUUCUUCUACCAGUGAGUUCCAAGACGUGGCGAGCACAACAAACGGCGAUUCACAGGUGGAUGAGCCUGAAGAUGUUAGUCAAGAUUACCAACAGAUCGUGCCAGCGUCCGCUGAAACGCCACCUCUGAAAAGACGCAGAAGACCAAGUAAGGCGUCUCCAGAGCAAGGAGCUGAUCAAAGUGAAAUCAGGACUUUCUUCAGGAGGGUAAUUAUCGCUAGUUCUCAAGAAAAUCGUCCAUCAGAGGCCUGGAGUGAAGGUAGGAAACGAAGGAGCAAGUCUGGUUGUCCCUGCAUUCCAGAAAGCUCCCAGUCAUCGGAUGGUGCUGCAUCCACGGAGUCCCCUCGAGGCAGGGGCAGAUAUUCAAGGCGACGAUCUGCUAACACAGAGUCGUCUGAAUCCGAAUUGUCAGAGGCCAGGGAGAGUCCUUCAUCCCUAAAGAUGUCCACGAAGAGACGCAGGAAACCCAGAGGGAUAUCUCCAAGUGGUCGCACUGGCGAACCUCGAACAAAAAUGGAUGCCAAGGACUCUGCAACUGCAGAAACAUUGGAAACUGCUAAAGUAGAAGAUGGGAAUUUAUCAAAAAGCCAAGAUUCCGUAGUUUCUCAAUCCCUAGAGACUUUGGACAACUCCAAAGAGAGACGAAUGGACCUUGCUGAAGCACUCGAGCCCCUUGUUCAACAAAAAGCCCAGCCUGAAACCGCACAGAACCAGAGUCCACUCAGUGUGUCACCUCGCAAGAAGCGGGGCAGGCGACGAGUCUCUCGAACUAAACCUCACCCUGCAUCCUUACAGGAACCACAGCAGUUGGAAUCAUCAGAGAUGUUGGUCUCAGAAGGGAUCGCUACUGAGCAGAGUCAGGAGGACUUGACUUGUGAGACGUCUGCUGCAGACACAUCACCAGAGAAGUUGCAGGAGAAGAUUAUAGCUCAGGUGGUUGAAUCUGCAAAGGAUUCUGAUUCUGGUCAUCAUGGAGAUGCAUUUGUUCCAGUAGUGGAGGAACCUCAUAGUUCCACACUUGUACAAGACCAAGAAUGUUCAAAUGUAGUAGAUUAUCUAUCAAGUGCUGGGGAACUUGGUGCCUCCAAUGUGGAGGAGAAAUCCCCAAAGCAGGUCUUGGAGGACAGAACUGAGAAAGAUGUACCUGUGCAUGAUGGUGAUAAAGAUGGAGUGAUGCCUUUAGAGGAAACCCAGACCACAGGCAUGGAUCCAGAUGCUACUCCAAGCCAUCUUAGUAACUCAGAAUCAACACACAGAAGCGUCCCCCACCAUUCUCCGGCAAAGCUGAAGGACCUGGAGGCUGCAUUGGUGCAGGACAUGGUCCAGAGUCCCUGCAGUAACAUGACCAGAGGCACCUGGUCGCCUUCUGCCUCCCCCUCAUCCAGUAUCCUGAAGAAAGGUCAGAAGAGACAACUGGAGGAGGAGAGCCCCUCCCCUCUCGUCAAGUCCAGGCGUGUGUCUUUUGCUAAUCCCAUCCAACAGCAGGAGACCGCAGACGACAUUGAUCGCCGCAGCCCUGCCGUCCGAGCCAGCUCCCCUAGAAGAUCCAAAGUCGGCAACCUUCCUCACCCCAAAUUCAUCACCACGCCAACAAAGGGCUCAUUGAUCUUGAGUCCCAGGAAUCUUCGGAGUCCGAGUUUCAAGAGCUCUAAGAAAUGCCUGAUUUCUGAGAUGAGCCCCGUUUCCAAGGACUGCAUCUACCCCGCCCUGGUCGGCUGCUCGACACCCGUAGAAGCUGUGCUGCCGCAGAUAUCCUCCAGCAUGUGGUCUCGUGGUUUCGGUCAGCUGGUGCGAGCCCGCAACAUCAAGACAGUGGGCGACCUCAGCGCUCUGACGCCCAGUGAGAUCAAGACUCUUCCCAUCCGCUCCCCAAAGGUCUCCAAUGUCAAGAAGGCGCUCAAGACCUACGAGGAACAGCGGAAAGGUCGAGGCGUCGAUGAGCUGAAGAGUUUUGUGGAGAUGGAGAUGAUGACCUCAGAGCUGGAGGAGGCGAGGCAGACUCUCAACCAGGAUGAAAGGAGUGGCGCACUGUUAGCCACAGCAUUGCUGGACCAGCCAGGUCCACCUCCCACCAGGCUGGAAGAGGACCCCGCUCACCUCCAAAUGACGGACCCCUGUGAGGCUGUGGCGCCGGAGGCUCUCUUAGGGGGUCCACCGGGUCUCCUCUGCCAGCUGGACGCUGUGGACGGCGUGCUGACUCGGCCUCUUCUCAAGCAAUGUUCUCCACAGCAGCUCUUAGACAUGCACCAGCGUUUGACGGGGAUGACCAGUCGUGUCGUGAUGGAGAUGAGCACUCGACUCAGCACCGCUCACCAGCGUCCCUGAACGUGCCAUGGACUAUGUCCGCAUCUCCUGGCCUUUUUUUUUUUUUUUUUUUAAUUGUCUCCCCUUUUUAAUAGCGACACACACACACACACGUGCGCUGGUCCCUUGUAGGUGUUUCCAUAGUGUACAUACUGUAGAAUGACUUUAGAUAUUUUGUCUUGUUGUGAGCACAUGUGGUUCUUUUAUUUUGCAUUUGUGCUUUUUAAGUACUUCAAAUAAAACGCUUGGACUGAAUGUAUUUGAAAGACAAACCUGAGCAGCUCAAGUCUUUUCUUUUCUGGCUUUUUUUCUUAUUUUUUUUCCAAGUGCGAUGACAACCACAGAACAGGAAAUGGAGCGGCAGAGCUCGUAAAAAGCCAGUAGGUGACAGUAACGCUCUGCCAACAGCGGCUGUUGUGCCGCUUACGUCUUCUUACACGUGCCUGACAGUUAAGGAUGCAGCUUGAAAUGUUGUCUGGGCAGCUGGACAGAUGAAUUGACUUUAUGGGAGGGAAACUGAAGUGUUUCAUCCUCUUAAGUGAUUUUUUUUUUUUUUUGUCCCGAUGCGAAAGUAAGAAGGUGUUUAUGUCGGCAGAAAAGCGGUUGCCAGAUCCUCCUGCUGCAUUCUUGCACAAGUCAGACCAGGCGGCGUCAGGAGAGGUUCUUGAAGAGAAGACCCCACAAAAGGUGCGACAUGGUGGUGGUGAUGGUGACUGAUGGUGAUGUGUGGUGAUGGAUGUUGCAGGUCGAUAGAAGACAUGUUGCUUCAGCAGCUUCUGGUUUGCUCCGUCUGGAUCCUGCAGGCGCUCCAUCUGGCCUCCAGCAGCAGUUAAGUCGUGAUCAAUUGUCGAUCACCAUUGAUGAUCAAUGUGUGGCCUUUUUUAAAUUUAAUUUGUAUCUGUGACAGAAGACGGGCGUCCUGCUUCCACGUGUCGUCUUUUUGUUCCUCCUCUUCCUCCUCCCUUGUUUCCUCCGCUUCAGCGCAGACAGGAAGUGACGGUGGAUGUCACGGAACACAUCACUGGACCUCAAGGAGAGAAGGGCUGUAGAGGAGCCAGGGGACCUGAGGGUGAAUCCGGUGUGACGGGUCCCCAAGGAGAAGCAGGACAAGCAGGAUCAAUAGGACAAUGUGGUCAAAAGGGAGAGAGAGGCUACAGAGGCUGGAGGGGCCUCCGAGGUGAAAGAGGACUUUCCUGCCCGAUGAAGGGCCGUACAGGAGGGAGUGGCAUGAGGGUAAGUGUGGAGCGUGGUGUGUAUUAGCUGAGAAAGGUUUGUGAUUUAUGUUCUGUCAGGGGGAUGGAGGCGUGAAAGGAGACCCGGGACCCAGAGGAGAUGCUGUAAGACAUUUUUCCUUCCUCUUCUUGGAGCCUGUGGUGUUCCUCAGGAGUCUCUUCUAGAAGGUCAAAGGUUGUAGCAACGCUUGUGUCUUUCCAGGGCCGUCCGGGGCUGGCGGGCACGUGUGGAGGCAAGGUGAGUACCACCAAAUACUGGACACAGAAAAAAGGAAAUGGUGUCAUCCAUCCUUUCCGCUGUUUGGGAUUUUGGUCAAGAUGAUCCAGUCCAGACGCGAGGAAAAGCGAUUGAUCUAAAUAACAAAAUAAUAAUAAUAGUUAACUUUUAUAUUUCAACUAUUUGUACAUUUGAUUUUGUUUAAAAAUAAUACA